rnacentral:rRNA from 1 species
UACGAAGGGGGCUAGCGUUGCUCGGAAUCACUGGGCGUAAAGGGUGCGUAGGCGGGUCUUUAAGUCAGGGGUGAAAUCCUGGAGCUCAACUCCAGAACUGCCUUUGAUACUGAAGAUCUUGAGUUCGGGAGAGGUGAGUGGAACUGCGAGUGUAGAGGUGAAAUUCGUAGAUAUUCGCAAGAACACCAGUGGCGAAGGCGGCUCACUGGCCCGAUACUGACGCUGAGGCGCGACAGCUAGGGGAGCAAACGGG